CUAAGAAUCUUCCGCAAUGGGCGAAAGCCUGACGGAGCGACGCCGCGUGGGUGAAGAAGGCGGAAACGUUGUAAAGCCCUUUUCUACGUGAGGAAUAAGCGCGAGAGGAAAUGCUUGCGUGAUGACGUUAGCGUAGGAAUAAGCCCCGGCUAAUUACGUGCCAGCAGCCGCGGUAACACGUAUGGGGCGAGCGUUGUUCGGAAUUAUUGGGCGUAAAGGGCGCGUAGGCGGUCUGGCAAGCUUGGUGUGUAAGCCCACAGCUCAACUGUGGAGACGCGCUGAGAACUGCCUGACUUGAGUUCUGGAGGGGAAGCUGGAAUUCCUGGUGUAGGGGUGAAAUCUGUAGAUAUCAGGAAGAACAUCAGUGGCGAAGGCGAGCUUCUGGCCAAGGACUGACGCUGAGGCGCGAAAGCGUGGGGAGCAAACAGGAUUAGAUACCCCCGUAGUCC
rnacentral:rRNA from 1 species